AGGGAAUCUUCCGCAAUGGACGAAAGUCUGACGGAGCAACGCCGCGUGAGUGAUGAAGGUUUUCGGAUCGUAAAGCUCUGUUGCCAGGGAAGAACGUCUUCUGGAGUAACUGCCAGGUGAGUGACGGUACCUGAGAAGAAAGCCCCGGCUAACUACGUGCCAGCAGCCGCGGUAAUACGUAGGGGGCAAGCGUUGUCCGGAAUUAUUGGGCGUAAAGCGCGCGCAGGCGGCUGUUUAAGUCUGGUGUUUAAUCCUGGGGCUCAACCCCGGGUCGCACUGGAAACUGGACGGCUUGAGUGCAGAAGAGGAGAGUGGAAUUCCACAUGUAGCGGUGAAAUGCGUAGAGAUGUGGAGGAACACCAGUGGCGAAGGCAACUCUCUGGGCUGUAACUGACGCUGAGGCGCGAAAGCGUGGGGAGCAAAC
rnacentral:rRNA from 1 species